rnacentral:rRNA from 1 species
CCCUUAGAUGUCCGGGGCCGCACGCGCGCUACACUGAAGGAAUCAGCGUGGCUUUCUCCCUGACCCGAAAGGGUUGGGAAACCCGUUGAAUCUCCUUCGUGAUAGGGAUUGGGGCUUGAAAUUGUUCCCCAUGAACGAGGAAUUCCCAGUAAGCGCGAGUCGUAAGCUCGCGUUGAUUACGUCCCUGCCCUUUGUACACACCGCCCGUCGCUCCUACCGAUUGAAUGCUCAGGUGAGCCAUUCGGACCUUCAUCAUGCCGGUUUCCGGUUUUGAUGAGGGAAAGUCUUGCGAACCUUAUCAUUUAGAGGAAGGAGAAGUCGUAACA